GAACGACAUUACAAAUAUUUCCCUACAUUGGCAGAUCCAAAUUAUUAGUAUCUUUUCCUAAAGGUAUCUUAAUCAGGACGUCGUCAGGUAGGAGCCCUAGCAUUUCAUGACUUAUUGCUCUAAAAAUACUUCCUGUCCUUGAAAAAAACUCCUUUUUGCUUUUUAUUACGAUUUGAUUGUUUUCCUUUUCUUCUUUCUUUUUGUCUAAAAUAUUUGAUCUGAAUAAUACGAUGUUCAUUAAUCGAAGUAUCCCAUGCAUAAUUUUCUUCUGUGAAGAAGUCACCCAGCAACUGAAAUGAUCAUCAGCCAAAGCGCCAUUAACGCAUUAAUUAUAAUAUAAAUAGGCACUUUUCAGAUAAUAGGAAAUUAUUUCAGCCACCAAAUGGAUGAUAUUUCAACACUAAAAUGGCAGUUGAAACGAAUGCAUGCAUACUAGCACAGCAAUCUUUCUGAUUCAACCAAAAAUCAACACUUGUACACCUUCUGAUGCUUUGAAAACCACAUAUGGUGGUGACUACGCUAGGGUUGGGGGUAGAGGGGCUGUGCAUAUCCCUUCCAGUUGGGGUGAUACCGUAACUCGACAAAUGGGAGUCAAGCAGGAGAGGGGUCCAGAUCUUUGUCAACAACAUAUACAUUGAAAGGUAACCAACUAAUCCUUAAGCUUUACGCCUUUACCAGCAUAAAGAAUGUGCAUCACCCAUGCCAAGACUAGGAACAAAACCCACUUGAGCAUUCUCCAAACAAGACAAAUUAUUUACUCCUUGGAAGGAGAUCCAUAAAGUAUACAUCUUCAGUUUACAUAAUAUAUGGUUUAGAGGUACGAACAUUUACCACAACUGAAAGGAUGUAAAAUUCGCUAAUAUCAACGAUUGUUCCUCUCACGAGCUAAUUCUCGUGCCAUCUCCCUCAAUUCCUCUGGUGAGGGAGGCCUUGGUCCCUCCGGGGUAUAAACUAUGUAUGAACGAUCGCCCAUGAAUUUCUGGAGAUUCUUGGUAUUGUUGGCGAAAGUGUACAUAAGAAAGAUGGGAACGGUCACAUACACACCGAACUUGGCGAUCUCCAAAAUCCCCUUUGAUGUUCCCAGCGAUGACAUUUUCCCGAGAAAAAUCCUGCUUACCCAGAAUCUCACCAGGCA
rnacentral:misc_RNA from 1 species